rnacentral:lncRNA from 1 species
GCUGCCUCUGACACGGGUCACGUGGUUCUCCCAGGUGUUCCACGUAUAUGCAGGUGCCUGAGGCGGUCAGAGCAAUUCUCUGGAGCUGGAGUUACAGGCAGUUGUGAGCCACUUGGUGUGGGCUCUGGAAACUGAAACCGUGGUCCUCUGGAAGAGCAUCGUGAGCUCUUAGCCUCUGAGUCAUCUCUCCAGCCCCACAAGCAUCGAACAUUAAUUUAACCAAGCAUGGUUCAUCAAAAAUGUAGUAGAAGUAGAGACAGGGGAACGCUCAGCUGCUUGGAUGAUAUCUGAGGGAGCAGAGACUGUGGAGGAAAUAGAGAAGGAAACACUUCCGGAGCAUGUGGGAACUAAGAACACCCCAAAUGGAGAAGCGCCUGUGUCCAUGGCACCCUGUUAUUUGGGGACCUGGUGGCUUCUGCCUCUCUCCUGGGAUAGAGAGAGUCCUCUUCAGUCAUAAAGUCACAUGAUGAACUGUAGACUGGGAUCAGAUGGUAACCCUUCCACUACCACAUCUGCUCACAUGAAAGCAAAGUGCUGGUACCCUUAAGUGCACCGCAUGUCU